rnacentral:rRNA from 1 species
GACGGGGGGUCCAAGCGUUGUUCGGAAUCAUUGGGCGUAAAGCGUGUGCAGGUGGCUCUGUAAGUUGGAUGUGAAAGCCCCGGGCUCAACUCGGGAAGUGCAUUCAAAACUACAAAGCUUGAGUAAGGAAGAGGGUCGUGGAAUUCCUGGUGUAGUGGUGAAAUACGUAGAUAUCAGGAGGAACACCGGUGGCGAAGGCGGCGACCUGGUCCGAUACUGACGCUGAGGCGCGAAAGCGUGGGAGCAAACAGG